ensembl:lncRNA
GUUUUUUGCCAAGUUGUUUAUGUUUGUAGUACAUGUACAUGUGAACGGAUGUUUCUUUGAGUGUUAUUAGGGUUUUUCCGGCGACUGGCGUUUUCGUUCGGUGACGGAUGCGCAGCCUGCCGGGCUGAUUGGAGGUAGAUGGACGUGGUAACAUAUGGAAGUUGCAGAAGGCGUAGGCUACGGUAUGUAGGAGGUGGUGAUUGAUGGAAGCUUUGGGAAAGUUUGUGUGGAGUGUAUUGAUCUAUGUGUUGUAGUCCUUUUGGCUCAGGUUCGAAGGAUCGUCCCCUCUGACCGCCCUCAGCCUCCCGCGGUGUUUCCACCGAUCGUUGGGACUCAUCGUCCCAUCAAGCCCGGCGGCACUGCAUCGUUGGAGUCGUACAGGCGACGUUGCCAACCCCGCUGGUGGCGGAGAUGGCCCAAUUUGGACCUUUUUGUUGUGCACGUUACAAUGUUGUGGGCCGUCUGGAGGCCGUUUUUUGCUCCGCAAGCCUUCACAAGCCUUCACUGUGUCUUGUGAUGGAAUAACUAGGCCGCUGUUGUUUUUCAGGGUUAGAAGGUGGUAGCUCUUGUCAAAUGAAGAUGGUACAGCAUCUCUGACCAAGCUCGCACGGCACAUAUCACAGGACAGUUUUCAUAGAAUCUUCCGGACUACAAACCCUGCUAUGAAGACCAGAGCAUUUUCCACCAGACCAACAAACCGAGUGGGGAGAUAACUGUGGUCACACACAAGGGCCAAAUGUUGGCGAAUGGAGAUGGGUGCUCUUCAGCAGUUUCAGGAGAGGACAUCUCCACAGCAGACAGGGACACUGUGUUAUCCUGGGCUGCCACAUUGCCUGUCUCGCCAGGUAGCUGAGAGAAGAACCUGGGGUCGACGACACACGCAACAGGAGUGUGAAAGCUGUCUACCAACUCCCAUUGAAGGCCUGCUGUACGACAUCAAGCCUGGAGACUGGGUAGUCAUCAAGGACUGCAAGAGAAAGCACUGGAGCAAGCCACGCUGGUUGGGUCCAUACCAAGUUCAACUGGUCACUCAGUCUGUGGUCAAAGUUGCUGAACACCACACACUGUAAGAAGGCUCCAUGAUUAGAAGAUACGGCGAAAGAAUAGGUAAAUUUAAGUUACCUAAGGAUGGCGUGGGUUGUGGUGCUAGUAACCAACAACUCCAACUCAUCCUGCGAUCAUGGAGCCAGAGAGACAAGGACCAUGGAACCCCUUCAGGAGGUCCGGAGGAAUGAGGUGCACCAUCGGGUGCCUGCUGAUUUUAAGUAUUAUCAUCGUCAUACCGAUAGUGUGGAUUUCUAAACCACACUGUGAUGAUCAUGGACAGAUUGUAAAUAUGACACCUAAUGAAGCAAGGAAAGAGACAUUUGUACACCAUGAGAAGAGGCCUGAACCACAGAUACAGACAGGGUCUUAUUUCGAACAGACUUUGUUAAUCUCUUGUGACAUGAUGAGCUGCCCCCCGGUUGCUAUGUGCUGACAAGCCCAGUAUUGAAGGAUAAUGAGUGGAAUUGGAUUCACUUGAAUACAGGAGGGAACACUAUGUUCCCCUCACACCAUUUUCCCAACCAUGUGAAUAGGUGGAGAUGUUAUGAUAUGUUUAUUGUACUGUUAACAUUUCCAAACCUCUAGGAGUAAUCCAGGAUUACUGAUGUUUCAGUACCAAUUGGGGUACCACCACUUCCGGAUCACCCGACUUCCCUAAAGGUAGACCCGCUAUGUUAUGUCCCUUAACAGUUGCACGUACUACUGUAGCUCCUACUCCUGCACCACGUCGUUCUGAACCAGGUAGGGUAAGGAGAACACUGUUAGAGUCAGACAACAUAGCCCUUAGGAUAAAGGUUGACUAUGCAAAGCACAAGAACAUGACCAAUUGUUGGAUUUGCCAACACAUACCAACAUCUUCACAGUCUCCUAUGUUAACCCCUAACCCAUUUUAGUAGCAGACUGGCAGGCAUAUGGUUGGGCGGAGGUGGCAGCACAAAUGAUGCCGCCAGAUAAGGACUGUCAUUCCCCGUCAGCCAUUCCUGACCGGCAGAAUGGGGCUAACAUGGAUUUGGUCUAUAUGGUGAUAGUAGAAUUUAAUAACCACCGUCGUCAUAUGGAGAUAAACAUAUCCAAAUUAUUCAGGUUAACCUACACUGAGCAAAUAGGAAAAGGUGGCUUAAUUGUAACGAUACAAACGACUCUGGUGCAGACAGACUGUCGCACUAAGGAGGAUAGAAUCAGAACAGGUAAUGGUCCAGGAGCAGAACAUCUGUGAUGACUUAGGAAGUACUUCUAAUUGGCAUGAGAGGACUUUGUAAGAGUGAUAAAUUGAA